UACGUAGGGUGCAAGCGUUAAUCGGAAUUACUGGGCGUAAAGCGUGCGCAGGCGGUUUUGUAAGUCUGUCGUGAAAGCCCCGGGCUCAACCUGGGAAUUGCGAUGGAGACUGCAAGGCUUGAAUCUGGCAGAGGGGGGGUAGAAUUCCGGACGUGUAGCAGUGAAAUGCGUAGAGAAUGUGGAGGAACACCGAUGGCGAAGGCAGCCCCCUGGGUCAAGCAUUGACGCUCAUGCACGAAAGCGUGGGGAGCGAAACAAGG
rnacentral:rRNA from 1 species